GGCGUGCUUAACACAUGCAAGUCGAACGAUGAACCAGGAGCUUGCUCUUGGGGAUUAGUGGCGAACGGGUGAGUAACACGUGAGUAACCUGCCCUUGACUCUGGGAUAAGCGUUGGAAACGACGUCUAAUACCGGAUACGAGCUUCCACCGCAUGGUGAGUUGCUGGAAAGAAUUUUGGUCAAGGAUGGACUCGCGGCCUAUCAGCUUGUUGGUGAGGUAACGGCUCACCAAGGCGACGACGGGUAGCCGGCCUGAGAGGGUGACCGGCCACACUGGGACUGAGACACGGCCCAGACUCCUACGGGAGGCAGCAGUGGGGAAUAUUGCACAAUGGGCGAAAGCCUGAUGCAGCAACGCCGCGUGAGGGACGACGGCCUUCGGGUUGUAAACCUCUUUUAGCAGGGAAGAAGCGAAAGUGACGGUACCUGCAGAAAAAGCACCGGCUAACUACGUGCCAGCAGCCGCGGUAAUACGUAGGGUGCAAGCGUUGUCCGGAAUUAUUGGGCGUAAAGAGCUCGUAGGCGGUUUGUCGCGUCUGCUGUGAAAUCCCGAGGCUCAACCUCGGGUCUGCAGUGGGUACGGGCAGACUAGAGUGCGGUAGGGGAGAUUGGAAUUCCUGGUGUAGCGGUGGAAUGCGCAGAUAUCAGGAGGAACACCGAUGGCGAAGGCAGAUCUCUGGGCCGCUACUGACGCUGAGGAGCGAAAGGGUGGGGAGCAAACAGG
rnacentral:rRNA from 2 species